GGCCACAGAAAUGGGUGUUCCUCUCCUCCACUGCAGGACUCUUCCUGCUCCGUUGGUGACCAGCCUUCCCCACACCCCACAUCCUGAAGCUCCCGGACCGCCUGCAUGUGCAGCAGCAGGCAGCAGGGCUUGCAUGGCUGGUACCAGGAACAGCUACAGCUCUGAUUCAUAUGCAUGGAGACAUCAUAUUAUUUGGACACAUUCUGCCUGGCCACCAGUCCAAGUAACCACAGGGCUCAGGACCCUUAGAGCCCUUUCUUUCUCUCCCCCACAGCCAGCAGCAUCUUGGCUUCCUGUAUUGUCUGCCUGCACUAACAGGCCUCUCCUGCCAUCUCCCACACUCUACCUCAAGCACUGAGCCUCUGCCCCACAUGAGGCGGUGUCUAUCACCCUAUACUGACUUCAUGUUCCCAGCUCACCUCUUGCUGAGACUAUUUAUUGUCUGCCGCCCUCCUUGAGAGUUCCCUGUAUCCCCCGUGAGGGGAGCCACAGCAACAUACUUGUGUUGUGAGGUGGUGUGUCAUCUAGAGCGAUAGCUCUACCCUCCAUAUCCACAGAGACGUAUAGAGACUGGACCCAGAACCAACAGCCAUUGUCAUUCCUCGGUCUCCGUCUUCUUUCCUGCCAUCUUCAGUCAGCUGCUGUUGGCAGAGUCCGUAAUAUGUUUAAUGGAC
ensembl:lincRNA Gm12958 predicted gene 12958